rnacentral:ncRNA from 1 species
GGAUACGGGAGAGACUAUUUAUAGCACCGAAGGAGUAACUCAUAUUAUUGCCAUGAUAUGGGGAUGCUCUCAGGUAAAAGGACCGUGUCUG